UCCCUCAGCCAUUAAUCUCACUGGGUGACUUUGGGCUAGUCACUGUCUCUCAGUGUAGCCUACUUCACGGGAUUGUUGUGAGGAUAAAAUGCAGAGAUCUCAUCAUCAGUAAAUGUGGUCUGAAAGACGAUUGCUGUGAUGAAUUGAAUUUAAGAUUAGAAAAAUGAGAAACGGAGAGAACCGAAAUGGACAGAUCUUUCCACCCCAAUUUGCUGGUGGGGCUCCCCGCACAGAAGCUAAUGGAUCCAAGCAGGGUUGGCUGGAGAAACACCUCUGCCUCUCUCAAACCCCCUCCAGCAUGGUGAUGCAGAGGUUUGGAUUGCUCUGUUAGUAGACAUCCUGGAUUAUUUUUCCUAUCAAGUUUAAGGAAACACCUACCAAAAAACAACAACCCACCAGAGUUCCUGUAAGCAAAGCAGAAUGCAAAUGUUUGAAACUUGUGACCACAAUGUGCAGCCAGGUGGUGAAGAGGGGGCUGUUCUGCAGCAGCAACCCUUCGUAUGAUAUUUGGGGAUGUUCCAAGAGUGUUGUUGGUGCAGCAUUUUGCAGCUUGAUGUCGGAGCAAGAGGGGAAGUUGCACAUAUCAGCACUCUGUGGUUUGCACCUCUGAAUGUGCAUGACUUGGUUUCAGGCACCUUUAUUAUUUUCCAGAUGCCUCUGCUUGCUUUCUUCCGCCUCCUGACCUCCAGCGGCAUGAGUAGACUUCGGACAAGUAAUGUACUCAACAGGAAAAUAAAAUUAAACCCUUCCCAAA